rnacentral:tRNA from 1 species
GGGGAUGUAGCUCAGGAGUAGAGCACUUGCCUAGCAUGCAUGAGGCCCUGGGUUCAAUUCCCAGCACCACAA